rnacentral:rRNA from 1 species
UACGGAGGGUGCGAGCGUUGUCCGGAAUCACUGGGCGUAAAGGGCGCGUAGGUGGCACGUUAAGUGGCUGGUGAAAUCCCGCGGCUCAACUGCGGGGUUGCCGGUCAGACUGGCGAGCUAGAGCACGGUAGGGGCAGAUGGAAUUCCCGGUGUAGCGGUGGAAUGCGUAGAGAUCGGGAAGAAUACCAGUGGCGAAGGCGUUCUGCUGGGCCGUUGCUGACACUGAGGCGCGACAGCGUGGGGAGCAAACAGG